AACAAACGCUGGCGGCGUGCCUAAUACAUGCAAGUCGAACGAGGAAAGCUUUCGGGUGAGUACUGGUGGCGCACGGGUGAGGAAUAUAUGGGUAAUCUGCCCUCGAGUUGGGGAUAACCAGUCGAAAGAUUGGCUAAUACCGAAUAAGACCACAGGAUCUGCGGAUCUAGGGGUUAAAGGUUUUUCGCUUGAGGAUGAGCCCAUACGGGAUUAGCUAGUUGGUGCGGUAAUGGCUCACCAAGGCUACGAUCCCUAACUGGUCUUAGAGGAUGAUCAGUCACACUGGAACUGAGACACGGUCCAGACUCCUACGGGAGGCAGCAGUAGGGAAUAUUGGACAAUGGGGGAAACCCUGAUGCAGCGACGCCGCGUGAGUGAUGAAGGCCUUCGGGUCGUAAAGCUCUGUCGUAUGGGACUAACACAAUGAAGGUACCAUGCAAGAAAGGAUCGGCUAACUUCGUGCCAGCCGCCGCAGUAAAAC
rnacentral:rRNA from 1 species